GCCAGACUCCUACGGGAGGCAGCAGUGAGGAAUAUUGGUCAAUGGGCGGAAGCCUGAACCAGCCAAGUCGCGUGAGGGAAGAAGGCCCUGCGGGUCGCAGACCUCUUUGGACGGGGAGCAAGGCCGCCGACGUGUCGGCGGAAGGAGAGUACCCGUAGAACAAGCAUCGGCUAACUCCGUGCCAGCAGCCGCGGUAAUACGGAGGAUGCGAGCGUUAUCCGGAUUUAUUGGGUUUAAAGGGUGCGCAGGCGGCGCGGCAGGCAGGGGGGAAAAUCGCGGGGCUCAACCCCGCCCAGCCGUCGGAACUGCCGGGCUAGAGUGGGCGAGAAGAAGGCGGAAUGCGUGGUGUAGCGGUGAAAUGCAUAGAUAUCAGGAGGAACACCGGCGGUGAAGGCGGCCUGCUGGACCGUGACUGACGUUGAGGCUCGAGAGCGUGGGGAGCAAACAGGAUUAGAUACCCCCGUA
rnacentral:rRNA from 1 species